rnacentral:rRNA from 1 species
UGGGGAAUAUUGCACAAUGGGCGCAAGCCUGAUGCAGCCAUGCCGCGUGUGUGAAGAAGGCCUUCGGGUUGUAAAGCACUUUCAGCGAGGAGGAAGGUGGUGAGCUUAAUACGCUCAUCAAUUGACGUUACUCGCAGAAGAAGCACCGGCUAACUCCGUGCCAGCAGCCGCGGUAAUACGGAGGGUGCAAGCGUUAAUCGGAAUUACUGGGCGUAAAGCGCACGCAGGCGGUUUGUUAAGUCAGAUGUGAAAUCCCCGGGCUCAACCUGGGAACUGCAUUUGAAGCUGGCAAGCUAGAGUCUCGUAGAGGGGGGUAGAAUUCCAGGUGUAGCGGUGAAAUGCGUAGAGAUCUGGAGGAAUACCGGUGGCGAAGGCGGCCCCCUGGACGAAGACUGACGCUCAGGUGCGAAAGCGUGGGGAGCAAAACAGGAUUAGAUACCCUGGUAGUCCACGCUGUAAAACGAUGUCGAUUUUGGAGGUUGUGCCCCUUGAGGCGUGGCUUCCGGAGCUAACGCGUUAAAUCGACCGCCU